rnacentral:RNase_P_RNA from 1 species
CCAGAGGGUCGGGCGGCCGCCGGCGCGUUUAUCGUGCGGGAGGAAAGUCCGGGCUCCGAGGAGCGGCGGUGCCGGGUAACGCCCGGCGGGGGUGACCCCAGGGAAAGUGCCACAGAAAAUAAACCGCCCGGCGGGCCGGCAACGGCUCCGGGUAAGGGCGAAACGGUGCGGCAAGAGCGCACCGCGCGGAUGGCAACAUCGGCGGCAUGGCAAACCCCACCGGGAGCAAGACCGAAUAGGGACGGCAUAUGGGCCUGCUCCGCCCCGUCGUCCGGGUUGGUUGCUGGAGGCCGCAGGCGACUGCGGCCCUAGAGGAAUGGUCGCCCAUCCGGCCUUCGGGCCGGUGGACAGAACCCGGCUUACAGACCCUCUGGCGCU